GCUUGUCUCAAAGAUUAAGCCAUGCAUGUCUAAGUAUAAAUAAUUCUAUACUGUGAAACUGCGAAUGGCUCAUUAUAUCAGUUAUAGUUUAUUUGAUAGUCAAUCACUACUUGGAUAACCGUAGUAACUCUAGAGCUAAUACAUGCGUCAAGUCCCGACUAGCGCAAGCUGGAAAGGAUGUAUUUAUUAGAUCCAACCAACCGCGGCGGGCAACCGGCGCGAACCUGGUGAAUCAUGAUAACUGAGCGAAUCGUAUGGCCUCGCGCCGACGAUGGUUCAUUCAAGUUUCUGCCCUAUCAGCUUUCGAUGGUAGGGUAUUGGCCUACCAUGGCAUUGACGGGUAACGGAGAAUUAGGGUUCGAUUCCGGAGAGGGAGCCUGAGAAACGGCUACCACAUCCAAGGAAGGCAGCAGG
rnacentral:rRNA from 1 species